GGGGGCAUUCACUGAGUUGCCUUUGUACGCAGGGAAGACCAAGCCGGAGGCUCCCACUAUGAGCUGGGAUCUGUGCAGCCGGAUCACACAUGAGAUGCCUUUUUGGAAACAAACAUCUAAAUGAUUUGCCUUCAGUCAGAAGAUAUAACAGAAAGCGGCUACAUGUUUUGAAUUUAACUCUUGCCAUCUGAAUACUUCCUGGAGCAUUUUUGUUUCCAGGACCCUUGGGAAUCUGAGAAUUCAGAAGAGCAGCAUGGCUUUGAAUGCAGCCUGUAGCACAGCUGACACUUGUCCAGUGCUUCUUCUUGGUCAGGCCAUGCUCCGAAAUCUUUAAGUAUUUCUUCCAGAACUUGCUUACAUCCAGAUGAGAUUGAACUUCUGUGUGGCAGCGCUAGCACCAUAUCUCUACUUAGCAAUUCCUUGACUUUGAAUCUAUCUGCCAUUUGCCUUAGCCAGCUGCCACCCAAGAUUGGACUAAGCCCUCUGGCCCUCGUUAAAAGGAAAAAGAAGAAGAAGAAAAAAAAGAAAAUACACACAACAUAAUUCUCUAAUACGCAUACUCCCAACUUCUAUGCAAGGCGCUUAAGCAAAUGAAAAGGUUAAUAUAUGCUAGCUAGAUGUUAGGUAUAGAAUGUCAGCUCUGUCAGGUUUCAUUAUAACUUGCUGCUCAUUGGAAAAGAUUUGAUUUCUUUUGCCACUGUCCUACUAUGUUCAAGUCACUGACUGCCAGCAGCCCACUGAAGACCACAGGCUGGCAGCGAGCGGCUCAAGUGGGAAACCAGCCGCAAGGACCAUCUGCUUCCGAUUUCUAGCUGAGCCAAGAAGCGCAGUGAAGUGCAUUCCGUUCACCAGGCCAGCUUCUCCCCUGCUCAAGUUAUUAGUGUUACAAGUGACAUGAUCUUUUCCAAACAGCAGGGGAGCCAUAAUCCUUACAGAACAGGACUCUAAACACACAUAUGUACUUACAAAACAUACACACACCACUACCACCAGUCAGACAUCUUUUGUUAAAGUUGUGAGGAAGACUGCUUAUAAAUUUAAUCACAGCCUCAUGGAGAUUUAUAAAGUAUGUUUUAUUAAGCAUGAUAACCUAAGCAGCAAUAACAUAUAUACCAGCUUCACUGACUCUUAUUGAAUGAUCAAAUAUCUGUAGGAUUUUUUUUUGGUGGGCAUGGCUGGAAAUGCUAAGAAGCAGUCAUUUAAGUUGCCCCCAACAAAGCAUACUGUGUUUAUAGUGAUGAUCUGUCAGACCCUAGCUCGGCCAACCCAGGUGCAUCAAUCUUUUGCCAAGUGACCCAUAUUGAAGCUUACUGGCAAGCUAUUAAGUCUCAAAGGGGUCAUAUGAUUGGGGCUCACUUUAUAGUUUGGGAGAGAUAAAGAUAUGUCUUUGCUAUUGGGUGCUAUCUCAAGACUGAGCAUCUUAAGGAAAGUUUGGAGGUGAAAUUGGAAGGCUGAUGGUAGAAAUGCCAUGACAAGUGGUGACUUUAGGUAAUUAGUGUUUCUAAAUGUGUAGUUAGUAACAGGUGAUUGAUAACAUGUCAGAUGCUCAGAAUUCCAAGAAACCAGACAAGUUGCCUACCCUCCAUGAGCUCCCCAACAAUCACUGAGUAAAGAGAUGCCUUAGCAGGCAUGUGCCUGACAAUGCAGUAGAACCCUGGGGACACAGCCUUGGUUUAACACAUAUGUAGUAUGUGAAUCUGGGUUGUUUUGUGUCUUCUAUUAUAGGCAUAAUCUGUAAAAUAUAUACUUGACUGAUUGACAGGGGCUGUGAUGAAAAUUAAAUGAGUCAUCACCUAUAUAAAAGGACAAAGGUCCUAGAACAGGUUCAGUCUGGUUGGUUUCUGAUCCCUUCUAGUUAUUCUAUAGAUCCCUGAGCACCUUGAACAUCAUAGCAAGUUCUCUUUUGUGGAUGAGAGGCAGAGUAAAUCUAGAAAGGCUGCUUGUGACAUCUUAGGAUAUCAGCUGUCCUGUGGUACAUCAUCCAAAUGCUUUCCCAGAUACUAGCGUGUGGUGGUGAACAUCUGUCCACCAAACCCUCCUCUUCCCCCCACACCAGGGUAUUCACACAUAUCUGCCUAACCUAAAGGUUCUUGCCUGCAGUGGCCUCCCCUGGUUAUACUCUAGGAUUUCCAAGAGCUAGAAUUGCAGUAGUCACUAUAUACAGUUAUGAAAUAAUUAGGCUCCUAUUGGAUGCUUUUGGUUCAUGGCGAAUAAGAGAAUGACUUUUUCAAAAGUGAAAAUUGUUUACAAAACAGAGAUUAUAUACAUCCAUUAAAGUGAGGAGAUGGGAUUAAGACAAUUUGGCCAGCAAGGAAGAAUAUUUGAAGUCAUAGUUAAUGGCAUGCUCAGGGUUCCAAUCCAGGACUAUAAUUAUCAGUGACUUCCUCUACCUUGAUAGUGUUUCAAGCACAGUGUGUGUCCUGAAUUUUGUAACUGAACUGCAUUCAUCUGCAUGUAUACUCAUGUCCAUACUACUUCUGCUACUCACCCAAAAACAUAUCUGCCAGUAGAGUCUUUGUACUUGACUCAUAUUUACAAUUAACAAUUGAAGUCACCAGAAAUUCUGCAAAGCUCCCUUAUUGAUGGAAAAGCUGUGACCAGUGACCCUGGAAGGAUCCCUGAAAACAAAGUGGCAUGUGGGUGAGGCUUUUGGAGACACCUGUACAAGAAGUUUACUGGGGUAGCUGCCAGAAUCAACACCUGCAGGUUGGUGAAGGAAGAAGUACUAGAUAGGGGGCAGAGUUUUCUAACUUUUAGCAGCUUACAUCCAACAAAGACCCAGUGCAUCCUACAGGGAGCUGGAAGCUGGGUGCCCUUGCAGAAUUAACCCAAACUAGGACAACAGGAUAAGGACGUUGUACUCCUACAAUUAUCUAUUGGCCAUUGACUAAGAGAUAUUUCAUGGAGAGGGGAGAGCCUUUAGGCUAGACAAGAGGCAACGAACAAACCUGGGUUGGGGUGGAAGUCUCUGGGGAGCUGUGGGCUGGGAAAGCAUGGUGUGCUACAGGACCUGAUCAUAUCCAAGGGAGUCUCAUGAGUUACUGGAGUCUGGAGACUAUGGUCCACACUUUACUUAUUUCUCAAAUGGCAGUGAAAGGCUCCAUGCCCAUUUAGCAGAAUCUACCAUAUACAUGGAGAAGAAUCCCUCUGCUUCACAAACCCCAGGGGAUGGGCAAAAGGAAGUAUUGAGCAUGCGUUGGCUCUCCAGUUGCCCACUGGCAGUCAGCUUUCACUGCCAAUGCAAAGACUUAGGGAGUGAAUAGGAGGGGGCAGGGUCUGUUGGAGUGUGUCUCCAAGACCCUGUAUAUAGUCUUGUUUCUUUUUGACCCUCCAAAGAAUCUUCAGAAAGUUUGUGCUGACACAUUCUGGGGCACCUGCAGAAAGGAGGUAGAUUUGGGUGAAAGGCCAAUAAGAGGGAGGAAAGGGAAGCAGUGAACGAAAAAUUGGUGUUUCAUGUAUUAUUUCAGAUUUAUUUUGUUUCCAAAUAGCUUUCCCAUAGAACACCUGACCAAGGAAAAGAAAAGACCACAUAUAACAAAAUCAAAUCUGAAGCAUAAAGCAAACUUUGGAAAAUAAAUAUAAGUUCCCUUAGCUUCAUGAAAGGGAAAAUCUGACAUGGAGCUGCAAGGCUAUCAGAAUAUCUUCCUCUCCAACCUCUUCACCCAACUCUUUUAAUUUUUUUUUUUUAAAUUUUGGACUCCUUCUUGAUUGAAUUUUAAAAAUAAAUUACCCCUUAAUAUUUGAGCAGUUGUUCUCUCUGAAUGACUUGGGGUUCUUGGGACAUUCAGAACUUCUUGUUUCCUUUCCUGAGCUUUGAUAAGGCAAAUUAAACAUACUUGCUUCUGCUUCAGUCUUUGCUGUCCCAGUACAAGGCAUCAUGCCCUGCCCUUAAGAGGAGGAGCAGGUUUUCCAUACCCUCUGGGAUAAUUUCUUUCUAAUUCAAGAUGAAGUCUUUCCUCAUUCUCUCUUUGCUACUCCAUAUCUCGUUCUGAGCUUCUAUUUACAGUUGAGCUUCCUGGUAUACUUUUGUCCUUCCUCCCCACGUUUACUGAACUCCCCUUAUAUCUGGCACUUUGGGGCUCAUUGCUGACCAGUGCAAUUAUCAUCAAGUGUCCUGGGAGUAGGUAACCAGGGCAUUCUCAUUUAGCCUGAUAUACCUCUGCCCCAUGUUGGGAAAAUACAGUUUACUAAGGGAUGACAGAAAGGGGUUCUUAAGUUGGUGUGGGGUAGUGGUAAGUGUUGCUGGGUUCUAUUUAUGGCAGGAAACAACCAUGAGGCUUUUGAGAGUUUUAGGGUUGAUGGGGAACAAAGACACUUUCUGGGAGUGGGCAUAAUAGCAGGAGAGUUGGAGGCAAAAAGAAUGAGAUAAAGCUGAAUGUGGUGGCCCAUACCUGUAAUCCCAGCUCUCAAUAAGCUAAUGUAAGAGGAUCCUUGUGAACUUGAGGCCCAUUGAAAUUACAAAGUGAGUUCCAGGUCAACUUAGGGUAGAGUGAGAACCUACCUAAACAAACAAACAAAAAAAGCCAAACACACACACACACACACACACACACACACACACACACACACACAAAUAACAAUCAGGUAAGUCAUAAAAGCCUCAGGACAAGUCCAAGUUUCACAGGUCUGGACACUGUCUAUGGAGCCCAGAGUUAUACUUCCUUAUAGUUGUAGUCCCUUCAUACAUGGAGGCAUAUGCCACCAGCUCUUCUUUACAUGGCUCAGGGACUAGGAAUGGUUUUGCUUUUCUCAGUGGUUGAAAAACAACAAAAGAAGAUGAAUACAUUGUGAUGUAUCCAAUUGCAUGUAAUACAUGUUUCAUGUGUACACUAAAGCUCUCUGAACAGUCAUGUUCUAACUGGCCCUUUACAGAAACAGGCAUAUUGAACCCUGGCCCAGCUAAUGGGGCUUAAGGCUUAAAGGCCAAGUAAUUUGCAUUCAAGUUCUGGCUUUUCAUCUUCCAUGUUACC